UGAGGUCUCAGACUGGGUCCAAGUACAGCUCUGCCCCUUCAUUGGGAAAACUUGGCUACUUUCAUUUCUGAGCCUCAAAGUCUUCAUAUGCUAAAAGAAACAUUAGUAUUUACCUUGAAGGACUAUUGCAUCAGAUGAGAAAACAGCUGGAGCCCUUAACAGUGAGUUUCCCUGUCCUGUGGAUCAUGAUCUACAGGUCAUUCCUGCAGUGGAGAGCUCAGCAUCCUCUGCUGCAGGGAAGCUCGCUGCCAGACAUGAACUUGGUGAAGGAAAGCUCCGAGGGUCUUGCAUUGAUUCUUCUUCCUCCCAGUCUCUGCUUCUGCUUCUAUCAUGUCAUCAGCAUUUGGUUUUGAAGAAGAAACACCAUCAGGUAUUUGUUGAAUUCACAUGAUCAAGACACUGAGGACAAUGCAAAAAUGAUGAGAGAUGGUACCCAGCCUGAUGGAACUUACACUCGGUUCGGGAGAUGAAUCAUAGCCACUUGAAAAGUUAACUACAUUUCAAGACAGAAGAAGUGGAUGAGGAAGCAGAGGAAGUAUCCCAGGACUGUGGCUCACCUCAUGCUGAAGUGUGGAAGGUGGCUUCAGGAAGCUCAUGGGAGUCGGCCCAGACAUACCAGACUUUGGAGCUAAGUGCCAGCCCACCAGGACUCCUCUGCCACAUGUUUCCUCCAUGGUGUACUGCUUCACUGAAGGCACAAAGCAAGGGACCAAUAAACCAUCAACUGAAACCUCUGAAACAAUAAGCCAAAAUAAACCUUUCUUUCUUACAA